CAUAGCUUAAUGAGGGGAACUCAGGGAACUGAAACAUCUAAGUACCUGAAGGAAGAGAAAGAAAUUCGAUUCCGGAAGUAGCGGCGAGCGAACGCGGAUUAGCCCAAACCAAUAAAGUUUUCUUUAUUGGGGUUGCGGACAUAUCAUAACGAAGAGGUAUCGUAAUUGAAGAGGUUUGGAAAGACCCACCACAGAAGGUAAU
rnacentral:rRNA from 1 species